rnacentral:lncRNA from 1 species
GUUCCAUUAUUAAAUUCCUGUUGCUGAAGAAAUUCUUCCUCGAGCCUCCUUCGAAGCUGUGGGAACCCUCAGAGGCAGCUCGGCAGUCGUUGAACUUGCAGGCCACUGUUUCCCCCUUCCUACUCCUCUCGAUCCAUAGCAUCCUCUCGAGAUUGACCUCCGGGGCAGAAGCCCCGAUGGGAGAACUCCUCGAAAGGGCUCGAAAGACU